rnacentral:sRNA from 1 species
AGUAAUUGAUGGCACAUUAUUCUAGUCAGUUACUUUAUUAGGAAGACGAGCUUAAAAAUUCGUUAAAGGGCACAUCUGUGAAACCUUUGGUGUCUGCUUCUUACGCCCAGUUUGGGGUGGAUGCUGGAUUGGGCAAUCCAUAAUGGCAUAUGGAAAUAUGACCCACUAUCUGUGGAGACCAGUUCUUGUGGAAAUCUACGAAACUGGAUAAAACCUGUAUUGUGGCGAAAGCUAUGUGCAGCGUAGCCUGUCUUGAGUGAGAAUAUUGGGAUAAAUGAUCUUUCUUAUGAAUAAGCGGCCACUUAUCAUGAGAACUGCAUUUUGAAAUUAUUUUUGCAAAAAAGAACUAAUAAUAAAGGAUUGGAGAGGAAAUCUCCUAGAGUGCAUUCAAUAUAGGAUUGCAGUGGGCACUAAGUGGUAAUCAAGUCGUAUGAAUCGGCAACGACAUAUUGAUUCUUAUAAAGGGGAACCGCAAUUCUGGUAACGGAAUUGUAAGAAUCAGGGAAAUCCUACUUGACCUAAGGCUCAAAGUUAAUUAUAUUGACCGCCAAACAAUUCA